AUACUUACUUGGCUGGGGAGACACCUUGAUCAAGAAGGAGGUACUCCCACGAUAAAGCUAUCCCAUUGCACUUCGGGCCUGCUGAUGCCUGUCAUGUCCCCAAAUGCGGGAUACUCAACUGCAAACCUGUGGUAGUGGGGGACUGCAUUCAUGCUCUCCUCUC